rnacentral:lncRNA from 1 species
UCUCCAACACUCAACAAAGCUCCCUUCCUCCUCCCUUUGGCUACGGCCCCAACACACACACACACAUCCAUCCUUUUCAAUCCAUUACCAAGAAUUCCAAGGUGAUAUUAAGGUGUAAGGAGGCCACUAACGAAGCUCGGUGCAAGCGGAUCUUGAAGGACCUUCUCCAUUUGCUUUUAUCCACCACUUUUACCCUUUGAAACUUCCCUAGCCUUGUGCUAGUAGUAACUAAAGGUGGAUGUGCACGCGGUCCUACUCAUGCUUAGGGAUGUCGUCUAUGUUAUGUUUAAAUAAAGUUGUAAACUUUUAAGACAAUGUUUCAUGCUAUCAUCGCGAUGUAAACGCUAAACUUGUGUUUUCAAAUUACGAAAUGUUUGGUAUUUGAAGUUAUUAUUAUGAGCAUGUAGUAUGUUUACCUUUCGUAUGCAAUGAGAACCUUUCAUGAUCGCACCUCGUGCUUCCGCCGCAAAAAGGGGUGUGACAUAAAUAAUCAUAACCUUUUCAUACGUUUAUAUUCUUUAAACAAUUACCUCAUAAAACGAGCAUUUUAUUCUCUUUAAUUUAAGUAUGGUCUUGCUAUAGUUUUUUUUAAUUAAAAAAAUUAAAGGUGCCGAUGGUGUGUAGUGACAGUUUGUAUUUUAUACACGUGUAUGUGCAUAAUUGUUGUACAUUGAGCAAUUGGUUUUUAUACAUAUGUGUAUAGUGACUGUUUGUUUUUUAUACACAACAACCAAGAUACACUGUUAUUGUACAUUAACAACCAAGACCCAUUGUUAUUAUACAUAUACUUUUGAUACACACGUGUAUAAUUGAAGAGAUAAAGUAUUUAAACUUUACUAUUAUACCCUUUAGAUUCAUUUUUUAUUCUCUA